GCGAGUCGCUUGCGACCGGUCUUGGCGUCCGUGGUAAGGAGGCCUCCUUCCCGGCGCGUGACAGAAAGGAACAGAUAUGGAUCAUAUGAAGGAAAAUGAUCGGCCGAUCGACUUUAUGAAAAUGAAAGAAAUAUUUUAGUAAGCGCAGGACUUUCAAGAAAACCCCUGUGUGUUACUGUUGGCAGUUCAAUUUAUAUAUGUAUGCAUGUUGUAUUUUCGGCUAUGCCCACUGAGUAUUUUUAUACUCAGCCCUGCAUGUAUUUCUAAAUGUGCAGGUUGAGCAGUUGAUGGAAUGGAAUGAUGUUGAGCGGGUGUUCCUUUGACAUUUCAAGAAAUGUAACCUUGAGUAUACAUCUUCAUAUGUAUAUCUCACACGUUUUCCGCUGCAAAACACUUUGAUUA
rnacentral:lncRNA from 1 species